rnacentral:rRNA from 1 species
UACGUAGGUGGCAAGCGUUGUCCGGAUUUACUGGGCGUAAAGAGCUCGUAGGUGGUUUGUCGCGUUGUUCGUGAAAACUCACAGCUUAACUGUGGGCGUGCGGGCGGAUACGGGCAGACGUUGAGUACUGCAGGGGAGACUGGGAAUUCCUGGGUGUAGCGGUGGAAUGCGCAGACUAUCAGGAGGAACACCGGUGGCGAAGGCGGGUCUCUGGGCAGUAACUGACGCUGGAGGAG